rnacentral:rRNA from 1 species
AGUGAACGCUGGCGGUAGGCCUAACACAUGCAAGUCGAACGGCAGCACAGUAAGAGCUUGCUCUUACGGGUGGCGAGUGGCGGACGGGUGAGGAAUACAUCGGAAUCUACUUUUUCGUGGGGGAUAACGUAGGGAAACUUACGCUAAUACCGCAUACGACCUACGGGUGAAAGUAGGGGAUCUUCGGACCUUGCGCGAUUGAAUGAGCCGAUGUCGGAUUAGCUAGUUGGCGGGGUAAAGGCCCACCAAGGCGACGAUCCGUAGCUGGUCUGAGAGGAUGAUCAGCCACACUGGAACUGAGACACGGUCCAGACUCCUACGGGAGGCAGCAGUGGGGAAUAUUGGACAAUGGGCGCAGGCCUGAUCCAGCCAUACCGCGUGGGUGAAGAAGGCCUUCGGGUUGUAAAGCCCUUUUGUUGGGAAAGAAAAGCAGCAGGUUAAUACCCCGCUGUUCUGACGGUACCCAAAGAAUAAGCACCGGCUAACUUCGUG